rnacentral:rRNA from 1 species
AUGAACGCUGGCGGCGUGCUUCACACAUGCAAGUCGAACGAAGCAUUUAAGACAGAUUACUUCGGUUUGAGGUCUUUUAUGACUGAGUGGCGGACGGGUGAGUAACGCGUGGGUAACCUGCCUCAUACAGGGGGAUAGCAGCUGGAAACGGCUGGUAAUACCGCAUAAGCGCACAGUACCACAUGGUACAGUGUGAAAAACUCCGGUGGUAUGAGAUGGACCCGCGUCUGAUUAGCUUGUUGGCGGGGUAACGGCCCACCAAGGCGACGAUCAGUAGCCGACCUGAGAGGGUGACCGGCCACAUUGGGACUGAGACACGGCCCAGACUCCUACGGGAGGCAGCAGUGGGGAAUAUUGCACAAUGGAGGAAACUCUGAUGCAGCGACGCCGCGUGAGUGAAGAAGUAGUUCGCUAUGUAAAGCUCUAUCAGCAGGGAAGAUAGUGACGGUACCUGACUAAGAAGCUCCGGCUAAAUACGUG